GAUGAACGCUGGCGGCGUGCCUAAUACAUGCAAGUCGAGCGAACGGACGAGAAGCUUGCUUCUCUGAUGUUAGCGGCGGACGGGUGAGUAACACGUGGAUAACCUACCUAUAAGACUGGGAUAACUUCGGGAAACCGUAGCUAAUACCGGAUAAUAUUUUGAACCGCAUGGUUCAAAAGUGAAAGACGGUCUUGCUGUCACUUAUAGAUGGAUCCGCGCUGCAUUAGCUAGUUGGUAAGGUAACGGCUUACCAAGGCAACGAUGCAUAGCCGACCUGAGAGGGUGAUCGGCCACACUGGAACUGAGACACGGUCCAGACUCCUACGGGAGGCAGCAGUAGGGAAUCUUCCGCAAUGGGCGAAAGCCUGACGGAGCAACGCCGCGUGAGUGAUGAAGGUCUUCGGAUCGUAAAACUCUGUUAUUAGGGAAGAACAUAUGUGUAAGUAACUGUGCACAUCUUGACGGUACCUAAUCAGAAAGCCACGGCUAACUACGC
rnacentral:rRNA from 1 species